rnacentral:rRNA from 1 species
UACGUAGGGUGCAAGCGUUGUCCGGAAUUAUUGGGCGUAAAGAGCUCGUAGGCGGUCUGUCGCGUCGGCUGUGAAAACCCGGGGCUCAACCCCGGGCCUGCAGUCGAUACGGGCAGACUAGAGUGCAGAAGGGGCAACUGGAAUUCUCGGUGUAGCGGUGAAAUGCGUAGAUAUCGAGAGGAACACCUGCGGCGAAGGCGGGUUGCUGGGCUGACACUGACGCUGAUGCGCGAAAGCCAGGGGAGCGAACGGG